AUGUGUCUGAAACCUGGCACUAACGUAGCCAACCCCUACCCAGAGACCCUACCCAGGAGGGGGCUGAGCAGCUUCCAGAGUGGGGGACCAGGAGAGACUGGAUCCACGGAGCAGGCCUUCCUCCAGGAGCAGCUAGCCUACCAGGACGCCAAGUACCCAAGGGAAGUGGCUGAUCUGUCGGGCUGGCAGCCAGACGAGACCCAGGCUCCGGGUUGGGCCUACACUCCCCACUGUUGUGAGCCCUCAGAGUGCCCUCCACCCAGGACAGAGAGUGAGCUCCUACAGGCAUUCUACAGACAACAAGAGGAGAUCAGGGGACUGAGAGACCAGCUCAACCAGAAAACGGUCAGUGCGUAAACACUGAGUGUACAAAAACAUUAAGAACACCUUCCUAAUAUUGAGUUGCAUCCCCUUUUGUCCUCAGAACAGCCUCAAUUCAUCGGGUCAUGGACUCUACAUGGUGUCGAAAGCGUUCCACAGGGAUGCUGGCCCACAUCGACUACAAUGCUUCCCACAGUUGUGUCAAGUUGGCUGGAUGUCCUUUGGGUGGUGGACCGUUCUUGAUACACACGGGGAAACUGUUGAGCGUGAAAAACCCAGCAGCAUUGCAGUUCUUGACACAAACUGGUGCGCCUAGCACCUACUACCAUACCCCGUUUAAAGGGACUUAAUAAAUAUUUUGUUUUGCCCAUUCACCCUCUGAAUGGCACACAUACACAAUCCAUGUCUCAAUUGUCUCAAGGCUUAAAAAUCCUUCUUUAACGUGUCUCCUCCCCUUCAUCUACACUGAUAUGAAGUGGAUUUAACAAGUGACAUCAAUAAGGGAUCAUAUCUUUCCCCUGGAUUCACCUGGUCAGUCUACAGUAUGUGAUGGAAAGAGCAGGUGUUCUUAAUGUUUUGUACACUCUCUCUCUCUGUGUGUGUGUGUGUGUGUGUGUGUGUGUGUGUGUGUGUGUGUGUGUGUGUGUCUGGUCUGGUGUGUGUAUCUGGUCUGGUGUGUUUAUCUGGUCUGGUGUGGAUGAUAUCAGGGGAUAACCUUUGAUCAGAUCACUGUGUGGUUUUGUGUAGGUCCAGAUCACACAGCUGGAACUGGAGAUAAAGAACACCAGAAACCACAUGAGAGCCACCUUCUGAAUGAUUCAACCAAUCACAUUAGAAGAGCCUUCUGAAGCAACCAAUCACGUGGGAGCAGCUUUUGGAAUCAACCAAUCACAUGAGAGCCACCUUCUGAAUGAUUCAAUCAAUCAAAUUAGAAGAGCCUUCUGAAUCAACCAAUCACGUGGUUGCAGCUUUUGGAAUUAACCAAUCACAUGAGAGCCACCUUCUGAUUCAACCAAUCACAUGAGAGCCACCUUCUGAUUCAACCAAUUUUUGUAUUUUGUAUUUAUUAAGGAUCCCCAUUAGUUCCUACCAAGGCAGCAGCUACUCUUCAUGGGGUCCAGCAAAAUUAAGGCAGUUAUAUACAAUUAAAAACAUUACAAUACAUUGUGUUCCCUCCGUGUACGUUUAAGGGCCAGCCGUGCUGUAUUUUUCAUCUUUGUGGCACCUGACCACACGACUGAACAGUAGUCCAGGUGCGACAAAACUUGGGCCUGUAGGACCUGCCUUGUUGAUAGUGUUGUUAUGAAGGAAGAGCAGUGCUUUAUUAUGGACAGACUUCUCCCCAUCUUAGCUACUGUUGUAGCAAUAUGUUUUCACCAUGACAAUUUACAAUCCAGUGUUACUUCAAGCAGUUUAGUCUCCUCAACUUGCUCAGUUUACAUGUUAUUCAUGACAAGAUUUAGUUUAGGGUUUAGUGAAUGACUUGUCACAAAUACAAUGCUUUUAGUUUUUUUUGUAUAUUUAGGACUAAAUUAUUUUUUUGCCUCCCAUUCUGAAACUGACUGCAGAUCUUUGUUAAGUGUUCCAGUGAUUUCACUUGCUGUGGUAGCUUACAUGUAUAGUAUUGAGUCAUCAGCACACAUAGACACACUGGCUUUACUCAGAGCCAGUGGCAUGUCGUUAGUAAAGAUUGAAAAAAGUAAGGGGCCUAGACAGCUGCCCUGGGGAAUUCCUGACUCUAGCUGGAUUAUGUUGGAGAGGCUUCCAUUAAAGAACACCCUCUGUGUUCUGUUAGACAGGUAACUCUUUAUCCACAUUAUAGCAGGGGGUGUAAAGCCAUAACACAAGUUUUUCCAGUAGCAGACUAUGAUUGAUAAUGUCAAAAGCUGCACUGAAGUCUAACAAAACAGCCCCCACAAUCAAUUUUUAUCAUCAAUUUCUCUCAGCCAAUCAUCAGUCAUUUGUGUAAGUGUUGUGCUUGUUGAGUGUCCUUCCCUAUAAGCGUACUGAAAUUCUCUUGUUAAUUUUGUUUACUGUGAAAUAGCAUUGUAUCUGGUCAAACACAAUUUUUUCCAAAAGUUUACUAAUGGUUGGUAACAGGCUGAUUGGUUGGCUGUUUGAGACAGUAAACGGUGCUUUACUAUUCUGGGUAGUGGAAUGACUUUUGCUUCCCUCCAGGGCCUGAGGGCACACACUUUCCUGUAGGCUUACAUUGAAGAGAUGACGAAUAGGAGUGGCAAUAUCGUCUGCAAUAGUCCUCAGUCAUUUUCCAUCCAAGUUGUCAGACCAAGGUGUCUUGUCAUUGUUGUUAGACAACAACAAAAAAUGUCACCUCUUCCACACUCAAUUUACGGAAUUCAAAAUUACAUUUGCUUUUCUUUCAGAAUUUGGUCAGUUAUACACAGAUGUGUUGGUUCAGAAUUUGGUCAGUUAUACACAGAUGUGUUGUUUCAGAAUUAGUUGUUGGCACUUCAUGCCUAAGUAUGCUAAUCUUGCCAAUUAAAAAAAUUAUUGAAGUAGUUGGAAAUAUCAAUGGGUAUUGUGAUGAGAAAGACAUCUGAUUCAGUGAAUGAUGGAGCUGAGCGUGCCUUCUUGCCCAAAAUGUUACUUAAGUUAUCAUUCUUUAUAUAAUAAUUUUUUUAUAUAGUACAGUUUUUCUUAUUUUUGUUAAGUUUUAGUCAUGAUUUCUCAAUUUACAGUACGUUUGGCCAAUCGGCUGUGCAGCCAGACUUAUUUGCCAUUCCUUUUGCCUCAUCCCUCUCAAUCAUAAAAUUGUUCAAUUCUUAUUAGUAACUUGGAUAUGUAGUUUCAUAAAUGUGUAAAGUGCAGUGUCUGGUUGCUCCUCAUUACACACCACACACCAACAGAUAUUAUGUACAUCUUCAACAUAGGAAUCAUUACAAAACAUGUUGUAUGACCUCUUAUACACUAUAUUAGGUACAGCCUUUGGAACUUUGGUUUUAUAGAUGUGGCUACUAUAUUGUGAUCAAUAUAUCCUAUGGAUUUGGAUACUGCUUUAGAGCAGAUUUCUGCAGCAUUAGUAAAGAUCAAUCCAUGUGGAUUAUUUCAUUCCUGUGCUGUUUGUAAAUAACCUGAACCAGGUUGCAGGCACUGGUUAACAGUUUGAAGCUUUUUCUUGAGUGAUGAAAGCCAGUAAAAAUGUAAGUCACCCAGAAAAUACACCUCUCUGUUGAUAUCACAUACAUUAUCAAGCAUUUCACACGUUAUCCAGAUACUGACUGUUAGCACUUGGUGGUCUAUAGCAGCUUCCCACCAGAAUGGGCUUUAGGUGAGGCAGAUGAACCUGUAGCCAUAUUAUUUCAACGGCAUUUGACAUGAGAUCCUCUCUAAUCUUUACAGGAAUAUGACUCAUAAACAGCAACAUAAAACUUUAACACCUCCGCUAUUGGCAUUCCUGUCUCUCUUCUGAAGAUGGGGAAGCCAUGUAUCGCUACCACUGUAUCAAAGGUAUUAUCUGAGUUUUCAGAGAUAGUAUAUGAAUGUUAUCUGUUAUUAGCAAGUUAUCCAUUUCAUGAACCUAUGUUAAUGUGGCCUAUUUUUUUUUUUGCACUUUUCUGGGAUUCUUGCUUUUAUGGGAGGCUUAUCAGAGACAGACGUGAUAUUUAUGUUUGUGCCGAUAGUACAGGGUGAGCUGCACACAGUGGGUCUUCCUACUAGGGCACACCGCCUCAGUGAUAGCAGUGUAACUCCAGUUCAUAGGCUCAUGAUUACUGCAUACAAUAGCUGUAGGAUCAACAGAAGUACUCAGGAGAGUUAGAGAGACAUACAUUAAGUUACUUACAUUGUGUCUGCCAACGCUCCUGGGACAAUGUACAUUUGCAGCAGGACUACGACAACUCAGCGAGACAAUGGUAGGGAUUAUUUGAGCAGGGUUUGGCUAACUGAUAAAUCAUUGUCUCAACGCAGCCUUAACGUGAGCAGACUGGGUCAAGGAGCCAAGAUGAUUUGGAUGGACAUUCCUGUCGAAUGUCUUCUGUUUCCAAAAGGUGUAAAAGUUAUGCCAACAGAACUCCCACAAGAAGUUAUCAACCCAAACACCCUACACCCUCACAAAAAUAAGUUAUUGAUCCAAAGAAAUGCAGAUUAGCCC
rnacentral:lncRNA from 8 species